GACGUAGGGCGCAAGCGUUGUCCGGAUUUAUUGGGCGUAAAGAGCUCGUAGGCGGCUUGUUGCGUCGUCCGUGAAAACCCGCAGCUCAACUGCGGGCUUGCGGACGAUACGGGCAGGCUGGAGUUCGGUAGGGGAGACUGGAAUUCCUGGUGUAGCGGUGAAAUGCGCAGAUAUCUGGAGGAACACCGGUGGCGAAGGCGGCAUCCUGGACCGGCAUUGACGCUGAGGCGCGAAAGCCAGGGGAGCAAAGCGGGG
rnacentral:rRNA from 1 species